rnacentral:lncRNA from 10 species
CCCAACCGCUGCAUAACCGGCUGCGAGAAGUGGAGGGCCUGGAGGACUUUUAAGCAUAGUCCUGCCCCUUGAAGUGUCACAGUAAGAUGUCAUAUAAUCAGGGAUAAAAAAAGGAAUGGAUUGGGGCCCCUGCUCCACUUACUGUAUAUACUUGGAAAAAGAAGAAAAUCAGAAGACAUUUCUUCUUACAGCUAGAAAGCGGGAAAAGAGCAAAUCAUCCAACUGCCUUAUCUCCACUGAUCCAACUGAUUUAUCUCGUGAAGGAGAAAGCUCAAGAAGGAAGGAGAAUUUGAGGAAGGCUGAACUCAGAGAAGAGAGGUGAUAAAAUAGAGAGAAAGGUCUCUGGAGAGAUCAGCUACACCGUAGCCAGCUGGGACCUGUGGAGGACGAAGAUCAUUAUGAUAUUCCCUGCAGCAGGAAGCAGCAAAUGAACUGUCAGGCCAGUGAGGUCUGACACCCAAUUAUAAGUUGUCAAAUAUAUACACAGCGUCUUUCCAUCAUACCUACAUUUGUUAACGUUAUUUUUAUUUACCUUCUGUUUUGUGUCCAGCACUGAUAUUGUGCUAAAUCCUUCAGACAAAGUUUGGUGCUUUCAUGACCUGACUAUGUGUUUGCAGUAAGUGUUUGGAGAAAUGAGGGAGAUGAGAGAAGAAGUGCUGUGUAUGUUCACAUUUUGGGGCACAGCAGUCCCCAGAUCAGCUGGGGAAGCAAGGUGAGCUAGUGACAAGUUGGCCAGAAAGUAUAGAUGAGCAGCAAGAAACAGGAGUGGAGAGAGACAGGGUGAACCGG